CCGGCACGGGUGAGUAACACGUAUCCAACCUGCCGUCUACUCUUGGCCAGCCUCUGAAGGAAGAUUAAUCCAGGAUGGCAUCAUGAGUUCACAUGUCCGCAUGAUUAAAGGUAUUUUCCGGUAGACGAUGGGGAUGCGUUCCAUUAGAUAGUAGGCGGGGUAACGGCCCGCCUAGUCAACGAUGGAUAGGGGUUCUGAGAGGAAGGUCCCCCACAUUGGAACUGAGACACGGUCCAA
rnacentral:rRNA from 1 species